rnacentral:rRNA from 1 species
CCUACGGGAGGCAGCAGUAGGGAAUCUUUCACAAUGGGCGAAAGCCUGAUGGAGCAACGCCGCGUGCAGGAUGAAGGCCUUCGGGUUGUAAACUGCUUUUAUAAGCGAGAAAUAUGAUGGUAACUUAUGAAUAAGUAUCGGCUAACUACGGGCAAGCAGCCGCGGUCAUACGUAGAAUCGGAGCAUUAUCCGGAGUGACUGGGUGUAAAGAGUUGCGUAGGUGGCAUAAUAAGUAGCGAGUGAAAUCUGGUGGCUCAACCAUUCAGACUAUUAGCUAAACUGUUAAGCUCGAGACCGUUAGGGGUAACUGGAAUUUCUGGUGUAGGAGGGAAAUCCGUAGAUAUUAGAAGGAACACCAAUAGCGUAGGCAGGUUGCUGGGACGGUUCUGACACUAAGGCACGAAAGCGUAGGGAGCAAACGGGAUUAGAUACCCGGGUAGUC